rnacentral:lncRNA from 1 species
GCAGAAGCUAUCAUUUAGUAAAAGCAGCACGAGAAUCGAAUUGUUGAGUUAACCAACUUACCAGCAGGGAUCUACUAGAAAUAUCCAAAUUUACUUUAAAGCAGUCUGAUUCAAAUACAAGUGAUGUGUCUUUACUUCGCUUACAAGGCGAAAUCUGUAAGCAUAGCGUUGACACAUGAUCUGUAUUUUGCAAAAUAAUUUACAAUAAAUAUACGAGCAAAAUACUUCUUCGGAUAAAGACGAUUUUUUUUUUAUAUUCAACUGGGCAGGUCAAAUUGAAAUUCAGAAAUGUUUUAACAUAAGACAAAGCGAUAUUGUACAUUGAAAUAAAA